AAAAAAAAGAGCUAGACUGAGGAACCUGGCUUUAUUUCAGGGCAAGAGCUGCAUCUUCUGUGAUCCUCCUAAAGAAGAAGAAUGGAGAAGCUUCUGGCCCUGUCUUUGGUGAUUCUGUGGCUUCAGCUGGCCAAGGUGAAUAGCCAGCAAGGAGAACAGAAUCUGCAGACCCUGAGCAUCCAGGAGGGUGAAAAUAUCACCAUGAACUGCAGCUAUAAAAGUAUUACUAUAACUGCCCUACAGUGGUACAGACAGGAUUCAAGGCGAGGCUUUGUUCAUCUGAUUUUAAUGCGUUCAAAUGAGAGACAGAAACACAGUGGAAGACUACUCUUCACACUGGACAGCUCCAUCCAAAGCAGCUCCAUGUCCAUCAUGGCUUCCCAGGCUGAGGACACUGCUACUUACUUCUGUGCUCCAGACACACAGUGCUCAGCUGGCACCUGCAGCCCCAGCGCAAACCUGCUGGAGCUGUCUCUUAGAAGCCGCGACAGUGUGCAGAGUUGGUGGUUUUGUCUUCCCACAAAGGAGAGUCUGCAAAUGGCUAGCAACAUGAAAGGGAGCUCCUCUCAAAUUCCUGGGUUUUUGGUAACAUGUCAGACUAUAGUAAAGGGCAUGGGAUUUAGAAUGGGAAGCUGAAAUGCCAAAUUCAGCCCUGCCCAUCCUGGCUGUGUCUUUAGCCAUAUCAUUGGUGUAGCAACCUUCAGUGUCCUCAGUUUAAACAAAGGAUUUAGGCUGAUGAGCCUAAAGACCCUUCAAGUUCUAAUUUUACCAGGUCACCUCUGAAGGAUGAAGAAGGACUUCUCAGUAUUAGAAGGGCUCGUCUGUUAUAUGUACAGCCCCCUCAAGACCUAGGUGGGGCUUUAAAACACAUGAGAUGAUUUUAGUAUUUCUCUAAUUCCUAUAUAGGAAACAGUAGAUUCGCCAGACAUUAGAAAUAAAAAGGAUCUAGGACUGUUCCCAUGAAACUUUUCACUUUAAAACCGAGGAGUGAAAACGUUAUGUAAUAAUAGACACAAAGAUCUCAGUAUUGGGAGUAAAAGAGACAAAGAUGUGAAUCUGAUUCUGCCAUUUAUGAUUUGCAUGGUUUCUAACCAUCAAUUUCUCCAUUAAAGAGAUGGAAAUUUAUCCAAAA